rnacentral:rRNA from 1 species
CCUACGGGAGGCAGCAGUGAGGAAUAUUGCUCAAUGGUCGGGAGACUGAACCAGCGAAGCCGCGUGAGGGAUGAAGGUACAGAGUAUCGUAAACCUCUUUUGUCAGGGAACAAAGGCGGGGACGUGUCCCCGGAUGAGUGUACCUGAAGAAGAAGCAUCGGCUAACUCCGUGCCAGCAGCCGCGGUAAUACGGAUGAUGCGAGCGUUAUCCGGAUUUAUUGGGUUAAAAGGGUGCGCAGGGGGGCUGUUAAGUCAGCGGGCAAAGCCCGGGGAUCAACCCCGGCCCGCCGUUGAAACUGGCAGUCUCGAGUGGGAGAGAAGUAUGCGGAAUGCGCGGUGUAGCGGUGAAAUGCAUAGAUAUCGCGCAGAACUCCGAUUGCGAAGGCAGCAUGCCGGCUCCACACUGACGCUGAGGCACGAAAGCGUGGGUAUCGAACAGGAUUAGAUACCCGUGUAGUC